AUUUAAUCAGUCAACGGAUAGUAAUCUCUCUCAUUUUAGUUUUCAUCGAGCGAGUUUUGUCGGUCAGUAGCCUGCAAGAUACACAUGCACAUGUAAGUGCAUUCUCAUCAACCUGGUAUUUUGUUGACAGGAGGCGCUAACAGAUUGUGCAAUCUCGAUGCGUUCGCCGGACGGCGGAAUAAUCCUGAAGAUGCGUCCGAAGCAGAAUUGCACGUAGCCACAAUGCGAAACGCAUUCGAAUGUCAACACGUGAGAGACAGGCGGACAGACAGAUAGACAGAGAGAGAAAGAGAAAGAGAGAGCCUUGAAACGGUCAACAAUGCAAAUCGCCAAUGAUAAGUGUGAAUAAAUGCGGAAUAAAUGUAGCUGCGGUGUGAAACUUUAAAAAAAAGCGAUUAAUAAUAACGCGGAAGGUGGGACAGAAAUAACGUACGCGAGGAAUAAUUUUUGCGCCGUUGGUAUAGCAAGUGUUGGUAUAGCGCCGCGGUCGUUUCUACAAGCAAACGUGGCAGCGUAAAUAUUUCGAAAAAUUGAAGACGCGAAAUCUCGAGACAAGAACCAGAGUUGAGUAAAACGUAAUACGAAUAACGAUUAAUGAUUAACGUGGAAUUAUCAUAAUUAGAAAAAUCGUUGAUUAAUGAAUGAAGGAAGUAAUCAAAAUCCAAGGAUUAGGAACUUCAUAUUUGUGCACGAUUCUACAAUUUUAUUAGCACCUGGCCCGAAUAUUCCAAAAAAUUAGCGAAAGUUUCAUUUGUAUAGUUUUCGAAUCGUUAAUUGGCACGAUUUUCCGCAUGACUCGACGAAGAUGAAGAUAAACUUGCCGAACGAUUAAAGUUUUCAGAUUCCUCACGAUGUAGACUUGUUUUUACAUCAAAGACACAUCAGAUACAAGAAUUACAAACAAAUUAUUAUAAAUUCAAUACGAUACGGAUACUGCUAUACAGCGAAACAGUAUACGUAGAUAUUUCCUCUAAUGUUGGUCAACUAAACUAAGUGAUUGCAAAGUGACUGAUUGCUGCCGAACUGCUGCCAGAGGACGUAGCCGGACCUGUCUCGCGGCAUACAUGUCUUUUCCACUUUCAUCGGCGCGGCUGAAACGGUCUCUGCGCGCGCCAUUUAUUUGGCAACGCCGCGCCGCCGCAUAUUUCACUGUCAGCCUGUUUACAAUAAAAUUAACUCCUGCUCGUAAGGAGUAAACAGAACACGAGAUUUCGCUGGAAGGGACGAAAGGGAAGAGGAGAGAGAUUCAGCGAAAUGGGAGAGAUUUGGACGCCAUUGCCCUCACGCGCUUUAUCCGAGAAAGUUAAAGCGCAGCCAGCCUCUGCACUCGAGCAUGUCAAACAAACAAACGCGCAAUCAACUUGAUCAAACACAUCGCACGGUAUCUGAAAGAAAUUUUCCAACAAUGUUGCAGAGUAGCCUCUGAAGAUUAGCAAGCCACACGGUAUCGCUACAUGUUGAUAGAGUAGCUGAUAUGAAACUUAAUUAAGUCGAUUGGUAAACAACGCUGGAAACGCUCCUCUCGUAUCCAGCACGCAGGUCAGAAGAGAAAUAAAGAAAGAAAAAGGAAAAAAAGAAGAAGAAGACGAAGAGGAGAAAACAGGACGUGAUUUACAUCGGAUGCGUAAGUCUAGACGCUAGGUUGAAACCAGAAGACGGCUAUUAACCGAGGCUGGAUUGGAUCACCUCGAUGGCUAGGGGGAAUAUGUAUGUACAGCUGGCAGCGAAGAAUCGCGAUUCGCAAUUAUUCAACGGUUAAUCAUCGUGGCGGCGUUUAUACGCACGGCCCCGUGCGAAACUCUGCAGCGUAGCGCGUGCGGCACUAAUUAAUGAUUUAAGCAGCACCGAGUUUCGCGUGUACGCACUCUCACGCGUCUACGUUUACGCUGGGCUGUCUCCAGGGGCCCGUGGCCAAGGAAUGCGCCGGUAUAAUUACGUUCUCCUCCCAUCACGGUAACAACUGCGUUGGAUCUUCUUAUCUGUCUGGGCUCUGUGCACUACGUACGCAGGUGUAUUGUGCGUGUCUUGUCUUUCGACGACUGCGUGGAGCGCAGAAAGAGGAAACAGAGCGGCGGGAGUUCAUCGACGGCCUUGAGCGAUCGAUAUCGUAUAGAAUUCAGUCGCAGGUAUGACGUCUACUCCUUGGUGUUUCGUCGAUGGAUCCUAAAGGAUAAGUUUAAGUUUUCAGCUGCUGCCGGACACUGUAGACACUUGGAUGCCGUGGCGUCCUACACUCGUCCGUGCCAAGAUUCAAUUGUGCCGGUAAUUAUGAAAGGAAUUUAAAGAAAAUGAGUCCAUCAGUUAUCUCGCGUCGCAUUCUUUUAGAAUAAACUAAUCUGAUGUAAUUUCUGAGAAGCUGUGAUGGUUGAACCAUUGAAUCGAGUUGGUUGUUUCACAGUAUAAAAAUAUUUUUUAAUCCACUCAGACGCAGACCUUUAAAUAUCUCGAAACGAGAAAUAUAUGACUUGGGCCACUUUCAUAAUCACUGGCACAAUUGGCAUCCAGAUGUUGCGAAACUCAAAUUUCAGUGGCGCCUCUGCUGUUGGCUUCCACGCAAGAUGCAAGUUCAUUUCGUCUAUUGUUACAAGUUGAACGUCACAAGAAUCAACGAAAUGAAACAAGACUGAAUGAUUCCGCUUGCCCAUUUCUACGAUAUCCUCUGUUUCAGAGUAACAAUGUGAUUCACGACACUGCCACGCUGCGUUAAACUCUCCGCGUCAUAGCGUACCAGAAAGUGCUGAGAGAAAACAGAAAAAGAAAAAAACGAAUUCGCGAAUUCGUUGCUUAAAGACACGGUAAAGAGGGUGAAAGACGAAAAGGGAAUGACGCGGCGACAAAAGCCGAUAAGGGGGAGGCGGCGGUGUCGGUGACGACAAGAAGAAAAAUUCGUGGCGUGGUGUGUCUGUAGGAUUUCGCGUGGGUGGCGAGAGAGAACGGCGAAGCGAGGCCAGGCCGACACCGGGUAUUGAUUACGGAGCGGAGAGACCGCACCCUCUGCCACCCUCCGCCGGCCACAAGGGGUUGGCCAACCGCCGCCGCGACACACGCCGCAUCGAGAGAGAAAUCCUGCGCAGUCGUCGUCCCUGAAUCUCUGCUCAGGCUCCGACCGAUCAAUUCCGGCCGUUCUCAUCGAGAUUUUCAACGUUUUCAAACGACAGGCUGCCGUCUCUUUGUCGACCCCUUGAAUUAACUUUUUACAAUUAACCGAGACUUCUUAAUCCAGUUAUUGAAAUUUUUGUUUUUUGUUCUAGGAAGCUGAAAUUUUCUAGGAAUGAAACGAAGGUUUCUUGUUGAUCCGGUUGUUGGCUGAUGGAUUGAAAUUUGUUGUUUCACUUCUUUUUUUUCUUUAUAAGAAGCUGAAAUUUUCUAUAAACGCACGUGAGAAUUUGCGUGGCCCAUAAAAUGAAGGAUGCACCAUGUUUCAUGGAAGAAAAGGGAAGCAACAGCUCUCUGAAUCGAGGACGUCGGUCCAAUCGGAGCAUUGCUCUCCGUCUGUGCAGAUAAUGCCGGAGUACACUGCGCAACAUCCCCUCUGGACCAACCCUCGACUACGCAAAAUGGCGGAAAUUCGACGUUUCCCUUCGUCGAAGUCUCCACGCAGAAUAAUUCUGAGAAAGCUUGAAAAAAAUAGAACCAAACAUCUGUGACACAUGCAAUCUACCAAACUCCAUUGAACACGUAUUAACAGCUUGUCCCACAUAAAGAAGAUAGAAGGAAACAACGCACAAUCUUUACAAGCUCACUCAGAAUUCUGCGAAAAGAUCCUGGAAAAAAUCUUAGACUCUCUGAAGGUUACGACCUCCUGUUAUAAAUCUACCAUGGUCACUAAUAACCCAAGAAACUGGAUGUGACCAUAAACGCUUAAUUACAGAAACGUUGUAACGCUGGAACAUCCUGGUUUGGUCGACGAGCGCAACCUUGCAAGACCCCAACGAAUCGGUCCGAAGCAAACAAUUCCCUAGAACCACGUAUACAUAAUUCGCAAUUGACGUUUGUCGUAUUAAUAAUUAAUGUUCUCCCCUCUCGGUUGCUCGGUGUCCCAUCUUCCUCCUCUCUUUCUGUCCUUUUUCCUCGUUUUCUCUUUGCCGAUGCUGAAAAAACACGCAUCGGUUACCAAGCGUCUUAGACCGACUGCGGCGUCGCAUCGGCAGGGAAAUGUAAAUAGGAAACUCGAGGACGAAGAAAAUGGAAAUGGAAAUGUAUAUAAUAAGGCUGUGCCCAUUUUUUCUUUUCGCAACAUAACGCAAGGCUCGGCGCCAAAUGGAAAUUACUCUGAAACUUUGGACCGGCCAAGGGAAUUCCACGGUUAACCUGCUUUUCCAAUUGAAAAUGAGGUCAGCCCAUAGUUAACAAGGUCCCACGGUGUUGGAGUGAUUUGAGUCACGUUUCACGCCGCUUAACCAUUUAAGCGCGGC